GCGGCUGAUGUCUGAUUAGCUAGUUGGUGGGGUAAAGGCUUACCAAGGCAACGAUCAGUAGCUGGUCUGAGAGGACGACCAGCCACACUGGGACUGAGACACGGCCCAGACUCCUACGGGAGGCAGCAGUGGGGAAUUUUGGACAAUGGGCGAAAGCCUGAUCCAGCCAUGCCGCGUGAGUGAAGAAGGCCUUCNGGUUGUAAAGCUCUUUUAGUCGGAAAGAAAGAGUCAUANUAAAUAGCUAUGAUUUAUGACGGUACCGACAGAAAAAGCACCGGCUAACUACGUGCCAGCAGCCGCGGUAAUACGUAGGGUGCGAGCGUUAAUCGGAAUUACUGGGCGUAAAGGGUGCGCAGGCGGUCUUGUAAGUCAGAUGUGAAAGCCCCGGGCUUAACCUGGGAAU
rnacentral:rRNA from 1 species